rnacentral:rRNA from 1 species
UACAGAGGGGGCAAGCGUUGUUCGGAAUUACUGGGCGUAAAGGGCGCGUAGGCGGCCUGUUAAGUCGAACGUGAAAUCCCCGGGCUCAACCCGGGAACUGCGUCCGAUACUGGCAGGCUUGAAUUCGGGAGAGGGAUGUGGAAUUCCAGGUGUAGCGGUGAAAUGCGUAGAUAUCAGGAGGAACACCGGUGGCGAAGGCGCUCAUCUGGCCCAAUACUGACGCUGAAGCGCGAAAGCUAGGGGAGCAAACGGG